AAGAAGAAUGGUUAAAUACAUGGUGUUGGCGGGUUGCACAUAAUGAAUGGUGUUUUGUUUGUUUGUGUUGUAGAGAGAGAGAGAGAGAGAGAGAGAGAGAGAAAGAAAGAAAGAGGGUUGAUUUGAGAUAGCAGGAUUGUGGGGUAACUGAAAGUGGGGUAAUUGUUAUUGAUAGAAGGGAGAAAAGAAGGGAACUUUGUCUGAGAAAGAGUGAAGAAGAAGAAGAAGAAGAAGAAGAAGAAAGGGUUGAAGAGGGAGGUUGUGUGAGGGAAGUUGAAUUAUGUCUCUGUUUAUGUUUGACUUGGAUUUGAGAUGAUGAAGAUGGAGAAGAAGACGAAGAAAUGGUGUAUUUGUUGAAUUUGUUGUGAAAAUUGAAAAUGUUUUCUAUUUUAAUUAUUUCUUUGUUUUCACAUUAACAGGUUCUAUACGGCAGACAGUAGACACGAGUAGGUAGGAGGGAAAAGAAAUAUAAUAAAUCAAAUAGAUAAUAUGAUGAAAGAAAAAGAAACAUAAAGAGGUAUAAAAUAAGAUAUAGAUUGUAGAGUGUGGACAAAUGAGAGGUAAAGUAUAAAAUGAUUUAAAUGUCUAUCAAUAUUUGGUCAAAUAAACCUAUGAAAAUACAUUACCAUGACUUCACUAGGGAAG
rnacentral:lncRNA from 1 species